rnacentral:misc_RNA from 1 species
GUGGGAGGGGGCUUGCCCCCGAUAGCAGUGUGUCAGUCAGCCUAUCUGUAGCUGAUACACCGCAAUCGGGGGCAAGCCCCCUCCCAC